rnacentral:rRNA from 1 species
UACGUAGGGUGCGAGCGUUGUCCGGAAUUAUUGGGCGUAAAGAGCUUGUAGGCGGUUUGUCGCGUCUGCUGUGAAAAUCCGGGGCUCAACCCCGGACUUGCAGUGGGUACGGGGCAGACUAGAGUGCGGUAGGGGAGACUGGAAUUCCUGGUGUAGCGGUGAAAUGCGCAGAUAUCAGGAGGAACACCGGUGGCGAAGGCGGGUCUCUGGGCCGUAACUGACGCUGAGGAGCGAAAGCGUGGGGAGCGAACAG